UACAGAGGUCUCAAGCGUUGUUCGGAUUCAUUGGGCGUAAAGGGUGCGUAGGCGGCGCGGUAAGUCGGGUGUGAAAUCUCGGAGCUUAACUCCGAAACUGCAUUCGAUACUGCCGUGCUUGAGGACUGGAGAGGAGACUGGAAUUUACGGUGUAGCGGUGAAAUGCGUAGAGACCCGGAGGAACACCAGUGGCGAAGGCGGCUUCCUGGUCUGCGACUGACGCUGUGGCGCGAAAGCUAGGGGAGCGAACGGG
rnacentral:rRNA from 1 species